UUGGGUUUAAAGUGCGCGUAGGCGGUUGAUCAAGUCAGCGGUGAAAGCCCUGGGCUUAACCUGGGAAUGGCCGUUGAGACUGGUGAGCUAGAGUCGCAGAGAGGGGGGUGGAAUUCCCGGUGUAGCGGUGAAAAUGCGUAGAGAUCGGGAGGAACACCGGUGGCGAAGGCGGCCCCCUGGCUGCAGACUGACGCUGAGGCGCGAAAAGCGUGGGGAGCAAAACAGGAUUAGAUACCCCCCGUA
rnacentral:rRNA from 1 species